UCAUUUUGUUUGUAAUGUAAGAUAGGGAUUAUUUGGUUGUUUUGUUGUUGUUGUUGUUGUUGUUGUUGUUUUUUAUUUUGAGAGAGAGAGAGAGGUAAUCCAAAGCAGGCUCUGCACUUUCAAUACAGAGCCCACUGUGAGGCUUGAUCCCACGAACUGUGAGAUCAUGACCUGAGCUGAAGUUGGAUGUUCAACUAACUGAGCCACCCAGGCACCUCGAGAUAGGGACUACUUUGUGAUGUAAGAUAGAUCUAUUUGUCCCAAAUAAAAUUUAAUAUUUUACUCUUUUGGGUUUGUUUUCUAUGUUUUUCUCUUUAACUUGUCCUUCUUCACUGUUCUCAUUUCUUUACUUUUACCUAGACACAUAGAAGUAACUUUUGAUUGAAGACUGUUUAACUCAAGAAUGGCACUAAAAAUUUGCCAUCCUUGUACUAAGUGCUUGUAAUGAGUAAUUCAUAGAAGCACUUGCUAUUGUAGCAAAUUUUACAUAUUUAUAAGCAUAAUAUGUUUGUUCUUGUUUAGUGGAUAUAGAUUUAUGUUUUCAUAGAAUUUGGAGCCUCGAUGAUACCUCAGAUGCACAUCCUAUGCAGCAGUGGUCUACAGAGGAACUCCCCUUCUGCAGUUAUACUAAGUUGGAAAAAUGUGUGGUCCUUUUCCAAUAUGACACCUUAUUUUUUUUAAGUCAUUGCCAGGAACUGAAUACAUAAGAGGGAGAAGGAGAUUAUAGGAAGAAGAAAUUUUGCCCUCAUUGCAUAAUUGUGUGCAUUCACAUUUCAUUUUUUUUGUUUCUAUCUUCCAAAGGUAGACAUUACCUGCUCUAGGUUAAAGACAGACUUCUCUUCCUACCAGAUCAAGAGGAACUAUACUCCAGUAGCUGUACCUGAGGAACUGCAUCUGAGGAGCCUCAAUCACACCUGGACCUGAAUUAGAUAAUCAAGAUUCUGGACAUCAAGCUGAUGCCAUUAUGAGAUGAGACUUUUGAAGGUCUUAGAAGAGGACUGGCCUUAAUGACUUACUUGACCAAUUGAAUGUCACUUUUUGGGCCUUCUGAGGCUAUGUUAUAAGAAACUUUGCAGUUUCCGCCUAUGCCUUUUGGAAUACUCACUCUCAGAACCCAGCCGCCAUACUUUAAGAAGCCUAAGCCAGAUGGAGAGGACACAUGUAGGCACUGGUUGAUAGCCCCAGUGAGCUACCAACAAAUAGCAUCAACUGUCAGCCAUGUGAGUGAGUGAAGGAAGCAUGUUGGACAGUCCAGCCCUAGCAAACAACACCUGGAGAAGAACUGGGGUCUCAAAUAGCUCCUGUUGAGACAUCCUAGCCAUCUUCAUCUGUUCAAGUCAUCCCACCUGAGGUCCCAGACAUUGUGGAUCAGAGACAUGCUGUCUCUGUUGUGCCCUGUUAGACUUUGUGGCCCACGGAAUCGUGAGAAUAAUAAAAUGAUUGUUGAUUACCACUAA